CCGACCUGGACCUCGGGGUUGCUCUGCAGUAUCACCUUCUUGGCAGUGUCUGAAAGCAAAGAGGCCAUCCCUCUUUUGUGGAAUUCAGACCCCACGUUCUUUGUUCUGUGCUGAAGGUACCUUUCAAAUGAAUACUCGCGCGCCUUUCAAAAGCUUCCCAUCAUGGCGACUGCGAUUUUGAGUGGUUCCCGGUGAAAUGGUGCAGUGAAUGAGAACAUCCGACACCCCUUGGAUGCUGGUUGAUGUCUGUGGUUGCUGAUCUCCCCCAGGAGGACACCGUGGUCUGGCUGCGAGCUCCAGGCCAGCUCUCGGACCAGUUCUCCGACAACUUCAAGGCAAAGGGUAUCAGCCUGGAUGACAUGAGCGUUGUUGAACCACAUCAAACCAAUGAUCUGAUCCUUAACAGCAAAGAGCCCCUGGUCUUUUUAAAGGCAGAAAAAAAAAUCCUGUAACACGAAGGC